GGGGAUGAUCGGUUUCGACAUUGCCUGCGAGAGUGUGAGAAGCGGGUCGAGGAUGCAGGGUUAUCUCGUAAACGAUCCCCGCAAAAAACAAGUGCCAAUGCAAAGCGCACUGACUUCGCCCUCGCUGCCUAAGCGAGCGCACUAAGAAGUCCGUCAGGCCGGGAACGCCUUCUACCCGGAUUUCUGGCGUCAGCCAGAGGGCUUGCUGCGACGUUACGUCUUAGGGCGUCGCGGGACUUGCACUAGGACUGGGCUUGUCGGAUUAGGUGCCAGUGGCAAAUUCCGGAGCCGAGUAGAACGCCUGCACUGGCUACACCCGUAGAAGACAUACGACCACAGCAGUGGACGGGGGUUCAAUUCCCCCCAUCUCCACCA
rnacentral:tmRNA from 1 species